AAGUGUUACAACUCUUUUAGAAUUUGUCUAGCAGGUUUUCUGAUCCUCACUAGAAAAUGCCCAU
rnacentral:snRNA from 1 species